CAGUAGCCACGGUAAUACGGAGGGAGCUAGCGUUGUUCGGAAUUACUGGGCGUAAAGCGCGCGUAGGCGGUUACUCAAGUCAGAGGUGAAAGCCCGGGGCUCAACCCCGGAACUGCCUUUGAAACUAGGUGACUAGAAUCUUGGAGAGGUCAGUGGAAUUCCGAGUGUAGAGGUGAAAUUCGUAGAUAUUUGGAAGAACACCAGUGGCGAAGGCGACUGACUGGACAAGUAUUGACGCUGAGGUGCGAAAGCGUGGGGAGCAAACAGGAUUAGAUACCCGUGUAGUCCCUGUCUCUUAUAA
rnacentral:rRNA from 1 species